rnacentral:rRNA from 1 species
AUUGAACGCUGGCGGCAGGCCUAACACAUGCAAGUCGAGCGGAUGAAGGGAGCUUGCUCCUGGAUUCAGCGGCGGACGGGUGAGUAAUGCCUAGGAAUCUGCCUGGUAGUGGGGGAUAACGUCCGGAAACGGGCGCUAAUACCGCAUACGUCCUGAGGGAGAAAGUGGGGGAUCUUCGGACCUCACGCUGUCAGAUGAGCCUAGGUCGGGUUAGCUAGUUGGUGGGGUAAAGGCCUACCAAGGCGACGAUCCGUAACUGGUCUGAGAGGAUGAUCAGUCACACUGGAACUGAGACAAGGUCCAGACUCCUACGGGAGGCAGCAGUGGGGAAUAUUGGACAAUGGGCGAAAGUCUGAUGCAGCCAUGCCGCGUGGGUGAAGAAGUUCUUCGGAUUGUAAAGCACUUUAAGUUGGGAGGAAGGGCAGUAAGUUAAUACCUUGCUGUUUUGACGUUACCAACAGAAUAAGCACCGGCUAACUUCGUG